rnacentral:rRNA from 1 species
UACGUAGGGUCCGAGCGUUGUCCGGAAUUACUGGGCGUAAAGAGCUCGUAGGUGGUUUGUCGCGUUGUCCGUGAAAACUCACAGCUCAACUGUGGGCGUGCGGGCGAUACGGGCAGACUGGAGUACUGCAGGGGAGACUGGAAUUCCUGGUGUAGCGGUGGAAUGCGCAGAUAUCAGGAGGAACACCGGUGGCGAAGGCGGCCUUCUGGACGGUGACUGACGCUGAGGCGCGAAAGCGUGGGGAGCAAACGGG